rnacentral:rRNA from 1 species
AGGAUGAACGCUGGCGGCGUGCCUAACACAUGCAAGUCGAACGUCCUGUCUCGCAAGAGGCAGGGAGUGGCGGACGGGUGAGUACCACGUGGGUCAUCUACCGUGAGGUGAGGAAUACCGGCGAGAAAUCGCCGACAAGACCGCAUAGGCUCGAUGCAAGUCGAGCAAAGCUCUUUCGAGAGAGGGAGCGCCACACGAGGAGCCUGCGCCCGAUUAGCUAGCUGGUGGAGUAACGGUUCACCAGGGCGACGAUCGGUAGCUGGUCUGAGAGGACGAUCAGCCACACUGGGAUUGAGAACGGCCCAGACUCCUACGGGGGGCAGCAGUGAGGAAUUUUCGUCAAUGGGGGAAACCCUGAACGAGCAACGCCGCGUGCAGGAAGAAGGUUUUCGGAUCGUAAACUGCUUUUCUGUGGGAAGAGAACGGACGGUACCACAGGAAGAAGCCCCGGCUAACUACGUGCCAGCAGCCGCGGU